rnacentral:lncRNA from 1 species
GCCAGGAAAAAGUGUCCAAACGCCUCGCGGACUGCAGCGGGGGAAAUGUCCCUUAAAAGUGCGACGAAGUGGGGAAGAAGGUGUAAUUACUAUUAUCAGCAUCUAUAAAGCAUCAUGCAUUUGCUGGAGUACUUCCUAGCACUGACCUCCUUCCUUCUGCGUUGUUCUUACUGGAUCUUUCUAUCAGCCAACAAUAUGGAAGUACCAAUACAAGGUCAAAUCAUUCCUGGAUUCAUCUGGAGUUACUGAACAGUUAAAUCAUUGGAAGUUUGGGUGAUACCUUUUCUAUAUGGAUUACAAUUUGAUCUCUGGGAAUUCUCCACCGUAAAAAAGGGUUGUUGCUAAUAUUAAUCAUCUUCAGAUACGAGAACCAAUGUGGAAGCAACUCAGCAUAUGGAUGUUACAGCCAAUCUCAGAUAAGAUGGAAGAGGCAAGUUCUGUUCAACAAUGUGCUAACAUCGGCAGAGCUGAAGUGGGGAGCUGGAGAGGUACCAAAAUAUUGGAUAGGAAACCGAAUGCUUUUUCAAAUCAAGUACCUCUGAGUGACCCUAGACAGUUGGUGAGAAAGAGUUUGUCACCAACAUAAAUAAUUGGAAAGAAGUGUUAGAUGCGUUUGAAGCAACCCAGAGAUUCCCUUGUGAAGCUGUUGAGAAGAGACUAGAGUGUGAAGAAAAGAAGCUUGCUUGGUGUCCAAGAUAAAAUAAGGGAUGGAUCUUAGCACUACAGAUGGAAACUGCAGCAGCAAAUAACAGAACCAGAAGAGAUACUUUUUCAUGUGGAUUCAUACGGAAAGGAUGUCAGACUCUUGCUAUUUGGAAACCCAUGCCCACCUCUGACUUCCACUCAAAAUUGCUUUCCUCACAGUCUGACUGCGAGAGUUGUGAAACAUUGGGAUGUGCUUCUGAGGUGGGCUGUGGAAUGCCAUUACCCUCAGGUGACUGCAGAUGUGUUAACCAGCAUGUUCGCGUAGGAGACUUUCUGGAUGGGGAAGAUUUCCAGGUGUGA